AUGUGCAAUCCUACCGGUACUAAUGCAUUGGAUCCUAUCAAAACUCCACAGUUAAGCGUGCUCGGAAGAGAUCAAUGAUGCUAGGUUGGGUGAUCAACCACUUAGAAAGUUUUCAUGCAUGUU
rnacentral:rRNA from 1 species